AAUGAACGCUGGCGGCGCGCCUAAUACAUGCAAGUCGAGCGAGAAGACGUAGCAAUACGUUUGUAAAGCGGCGAACGGGUGAGGAAUACAUGGGUAACCUACCCUAGAGUGGGGAAUAACUAGCCGAAAGGUUAGCUAAUACCGCGUACGCUCCUUGGACUUCGGUUCAGGGAGGGAAGCGAUACCGUGGGUAUCGCGCUCUUGGAUGGGCUCAUGUCCUAUCAGCUUGUUGGUGAGGUAACGGCUCACCAAGGCUUCGACGGGUAGCUGGUCUGAGAGGACGAUCAGCCACACUGGCACUGCGACACGGGCCAGACUCCUACGGGAGGCAGCAGUAAGGAAUAUUGCGCAAUGGGCGAAAGCCUGACGCAGCGACGCCGCGUGGGGGAGUGAAGGUCUUCGGA
rnacentral:rRNA from 1 species